GCCCACAUAGCUCAGUCGGUAGAGCACUUCCUUGGUAAGGAAGAGGUCACCGGUUCAAAUCCGGUUGUGGGCUCCA
rnacentral:tRNA from 23 species